rnacentral:rRNA from 1 species
GGAUGAACGCUGGCGGCGUGCCUAAUACAUGCAAGUCGAGCGAACGGACGAGAAGCUUGCUUCUCUGAUGUUAGCGGCGGACGGGUGAGUAACACGUGGAUAACCUACCUAUAAGACUGGGAUAACUUCGGGAAACCGUAGCUAAUACCGGAUAAUAUUUUGAACCGCAUGGUUCAAAAGUGAAAGACGGUCUUGCUGUCACUUAUAGAUGGAUCCGCGCUGCAUUAGCUAGUUGGUAAGGUAACGGCUUACCAAGGCAACGAUGCAUAGCCGGCCUGAGAGGGUGAUCGGCCACACUGGAACUGAGACACGGUCCAGACUCCUACGGGAGGCAGCAGUAGGGAAUCUUCCGCAAUGGGCGAAAGCCUGACGGAGCAACGCCGCGUGAGUGAUGAAGGUCUUCGGAUCGUAAAACUCUGUUAUUAGGGAAGAACAUAUGUGUAAGUAACUGUGCACAUCUUGACGGUACCUAAUCAGAAAGCCACGGCUAACUACGUG